UACGAAGGGGGCUAGCGUUGCUCGGAAUUACUGGGCGUAAAGCGCCCGUAGGCGGCUUUCUAAGUCGGGGGUGAAAUCCUGGAGCUCAACUCCAGAACUGCCUUCGAUACUGGAGAGCUCGAGUCCGGGAGAGGUGAGUGGAACUGCGAGUGUAGAGGUGAAAUUCGUAGAUAUUCGCAAGAACACCAGUGGCGAAGGCGGCUCACUGGCCCGGUACUGACACUGAGGUGCGAAAGCGUGGGGAGCAAACAGG
rnacentral:rRNA from 1 species